ACUGUUAAAAGUCUGUCUGUCUCUCAAAUUCGGGUGUCUCUCACUUUACCUCUACCUGCUGUACUCCUUUCCCAUCUCGUCCGGAAGAAGUGCCAUCCCGCCCUGUCCUGUCCUACAGCAGGAAAAGACACCUACUCCUUUUCUAAGACUCACUGAUUUGAUGUGGCAUGCCAAGGACCAGCAUCAGCUUGGGAGAGGGUCCUGAGGAAGGGGUGUUUGGACGCAGUGGAAGAAUGACUCAAAGUCAAUGAUGCGCACCACGGACUUCAUCUCUGAAUUUGAGGCCAGCGUGGACUUCAUGUGGAUGGCACAAGGUUUCCUGCUCACAGAUAAACAUGGGCGAAACCAGAAAUGUUACUUGUGAGAGAUAUCUCCUGAGUGGAGGAAACCAACGCUUGUUUUCCACACACAAGGAUGUUAAUGACCCAGUGAACUUUGCUAUCUGUAGAGCCAGGCCACCCUCAAAUUCAACAGAACAUGUAUCCUGAUCUCUCCCUCCCAGCUAAUAAAAGCCACCUUAGGGGAGAAGUCACAUGUGUUUUACAGCCCGCUGAUCUCUAGACCACACCAGAUCCUAGGCCCUUAAGCUAUAGAACUCACCCUCAAGGCCACAUGUGCUUUGCAAAGGAGUUUCUUUGUAAUCAUGCUGUAAGCUUUAUUGUGCACCUAGAAUUGGAGUGAUGGUUGUUGCCUGGAAACUUUCGCCCAAAUUGUACUGUGUUUAAAUAUUCUUGUGGGGAACUUCCUGGCACCAGACCAAAGAAGUUUGAUGAAUCUAGUCUUCCUGUUCCUUUUGAGGCUCACAGGGACCCCAGUAUACAUAGCAAGUUCUGGAAGAACCAAUACAGAGAGACCUUGUCCCAAAAAACUAAGAUAGAUAGAAUGAUAGAUGAUGGGUAGAUAGAUAGAUAGAUAGAUAGAUAGAUAGAUAGAUAGGUAGAUAGAUAGAUAGAUAGAUAGAUAGAUAGAUGAUAGAUAGAUAGGCUAGAUAGACAGAUAGACAGACAGAUAGUAAAGAAAUAUAGAAAGCAUGAAAACAGAAAAUAUAUAGAAGGUACAAACCAAAACUAGAGACAGUGUCUCCCUACAGGAAAUCUUGGCACUGAGAGAUGCCAAUGUGAUGAUGAAAUGACAUAGGGGAGCAUUCCAGCUAUAGAAAAUUGAUAGUCACUGACCCUACAUCUAGGAGUGUAAAUGAGUUUAUCAUAUGGACCCUACUGGUGUCUUGAAGGUGGAAGCCUCGGUGAGAUGUAAACCUGUACCCAGUAGGAAAGCCACUCUUUUACCUGUAGUCCUAUCUGACACAUUUGUGUCAGAGCAUGACAACCAUCUCAGACAAAGCUGUCAGCCAGGUAGCCUCUGUGUGGCACCACAGUUAUCACACCCUCAGACCACUUUUGCCCAGAGACCUGCUGUUGCCCAUCCACUGGCAUUGACCUGUGCUUGCUGCUAGCAUGACCAGUGACUCCCGUUACAGACUCAGCCCCUUGCAGCACAGAUGCACACCUCUGCUGGAGCACAUGAGCUGGAUCCUUAGCGGAGCAGAGACACUGAGCUGUAAUGUCUUAGCCAUUAGUUAGGGUUUCUAUCGCUGGGCAGACAGCAUGGCCAAACACAGCUUGGCGAGGAGAGGGUUUGCAUCAGCUUACAGUUCCACAGCACGGUCCAUCGGAGGGAAGUCAGAGCUUGAACUCAAGGUGGGAACCUGGAGAUAGGAGCUGAACACAGGCCAUGGAGGAUGCUGCAUGCUAGCGUGCUGUCUGUGGACUGCUCAGCCUGCUUUCUCACACCACUCAGAACCACCAGCCCAGGGGAGCCUCCCACAGUGGGCUGGGCCCUUCCAUACCAACCAUCCAUCAAGGAACUGCCCCACAGGCUCUCCCAGGGGUCAGCUCAGUUAGGGCAUUUCCUCAGUUGAGGAUCCAUCUUUCCAGAU